rnacentral:rRNA from 1 species
AGUGAACGCUGGCGGUAGGCCUAACACAUGCAAGUCGAACGGCAGCACAGUAAGAGCUUGCUCUUACGGGUGGCGAGUGGCGGACGGGUGAGGAAUACAUCGGAAUCUACUUUUUCGUGGGGGAUAACGUAGGGAAACUUACGCUAAUACCGCAUACGACCUACGGGUGAAAGCAGGGGAUCUUCGGACCUUGCGCGAUUGAAUGAGCCGAUGUCGCAUUAGCUAGUUGGCGGGGUAAAGGCCCACCAAGGCGACGAUCCGUAGCUGGUCUGAGAGGAUGAUCAGCCACACUGGAACUGAGACACGGUCCAGACUCCUACGGGAGGCAGCAGUGGGGAAUAUUGGACAAUGGGCGCAAGCCUGAUCCAGCCAUACCGCGUGGGUGAAGAAGGCCUUCGGGUUGUAAAGCCCUUUUGUUGGGAAAGAAAAGCAGCAGGUUAAUACCCCGCUGUUCUGACGGUACCCAAAGAAUAAGCACCGGCUAACUUCGCG